CAGUAUUUCAGAUUACGUGAGCAAUGUGUGGAGGUAAAUUUUCAGAAAACAAAGAUUAACAAGAGGAAAUAAAAGAGGAGGGGUGCAUGAAGUCGUGGUCAUUUCUAGGAGUGAGUAACUUGGCCGGUAGGGUCAACCACUUCACCACUCUUUUGUCAUCUUCUCCAUUGCCUUUGUAAUCUCUCUCCUUAUAUCUCCCCUCUCUUUCCUUUCAUGCCUCUCCUCUCUUCUCAUCCUCUUCCCCUUCCUCUUCACCACCAUCGGCCUCUCCCUCUCUUUCCCUUCCUGCCUUCACGCAGUCGGCACUCUUUGAGGGAUGCAGAGAGAGAGAGAGAGAGAGAAAGAUCAGAGAGUAUUGAGUAAGUUUGAAGGUGAUAGCCAUGUAUGCGGGAGGAAGCUUUGUGUUUUGAGGGGAAUGUUGUCUGGCUCGAGGACCCUUCUUCUCGAUCCGCUCUGUCUCCAUCUCUCACUCAUCCUCUGGGCGUAUCUCACAGAUUUGGAGAUUGCGCGUGAUCUGAGCCUCAAGUGUCGUCGGACCAGGCUUCAUUCCCCCCAAUUUUUGCUUCCCCGGGAUUAUACGCCGAGAUCUCUGUCUACGCUUAGCAAGGGUUUCCACAACUAACACUGGGCUUCGAUCUGAAGGCCUGUGUGCUAGAUGAAGGAGAAAAGGGGUGACAGUUUUCGUCAUUUCUCCCUUGUCAACUCUGAUAAUAAGGUGAAACCUAUAUUUGAUUAGAAUUUUCGAUCAAUUUUUGUUCCACCCGCUCUCCCACGCACCCAUAUAUACACGCCCUUUCUAAUAUUGGAUUCUCCUCAAUUCCCUCAGUAGUAAAAAAAAGUCCUACAUUUUGUUUUCGGUGAACGAAGAAUCCUAUAUUUUGAUUGGAAGGUGCAAUGCAGAUCUUGUAACUCGUAAAUCUGCUAUUUUUUGUUCAUAAUAGCACGGAUCUUGCUAGAUUGUUUGGAUUAAAUUAAUAUAUCUUCAUCUUAGAUAUCCGUACACUGAGCAUGUAAAUGCAGUGUGAAAUUGAGGUUUGCAAGUACAUGCCAUUGCUGCGUUAAUCAAAGGGUGAUGUUAUGAAAAGUCCAGCUCCCCAGACAUCCAGAAGCAUGAGCCUGUUCUAUUUUAUAGUAGACGACCUUCUAUGAGAUUAUUUAAAUGGGUAAUAAUGCCCAGCCUCUCCAGAUUCUACAGAAUUAUGCCUCUAGAGCAUGUUUGGAGUGAGAAAAAUGGAGAAUGAAAGACACUGCUACAUUCUUCAGUCCAAACAUAGCUUUAAGCGAUUACCCUUUCUGCAGGUUGAAAGAGUAUAUGAGAAACUAUCAGAGGUGGUACCUACUAAUUAAAGCUUGUUAUUUUCUGCUAUAAUGGUGUGCAUCUAUGGGAAUUGAAUCAAUGAUUAAUGUAAUUAUAAGGGGUCGCCUUUUAUUAAUUUCUUUAUUGCUUCAUCUACCCGAGAACUCAGGGAAUUGGAAGAGUGACUGAUAGGGGUUGGCCGCUCGCAUGUGCAGCAGCAGAAUGAUAGGCAAAGGAAGAGUCAGCAGCUAGGUAGAGGCAUGUAGGGGAACACAAGAGGAAUGAUAUUUACAGUGUUCACUCUCUCAACCGGCUCAUAUCAGAUCACUAUUCUGGGGGAAAAAAAAAAAUCUAUGCGCUCUUCUGUAUUCUCUCUCCGGAUACGAGACACGUGAUUAUGUGAGAAUAGAUGAAGGGAUCCAAUUUGACUCACUCACCACUUCUUUUUUCUUUUGUUGUUUUCCCCUUUGUUUUCUUCAUUGAUUUCACGGAACCUUAUUCCCAGGUCCACUUGAAUGUGGUUUCAGUUCGCAAGCUUUAAAAGCAAGUCAUGUUGGCUUUUGUGCGCAUCGAUUAACAAUAAAAGAGGGUAAUAUUUCCAUCGUGAACCCUGAAGUUGAUGACCUCGUGAAGACUGAAGAGACAGAAAGCUGAGUGCAUAGCUGUGUGAAAACGAAAAGCUAGGAAACAGAAUGUCUCUCUCUUUCCUCAUCUUUGUUUUUGGUGUAAAGCCUAUUCUAAUUUUGACUUGGUGAUUGAUUCCCUGAAAAGCUCAGACCUUCAUUCAAUUUACUCUAUCCGUUUUCACCGUUUCCAUUUACCCUGACGUUUGGAUGCUCGGCGAUGAAAUUAAUAUCGUCAUCAAUAUCAAUAUCAUGAAGUAAUGAUACUUGAUGAUUCUAUGAAAUGAUUGACCUUCAUUUAAAAAAAAAAAAAAUCAAUUCCACCAAAAUUGCAAGGCCAUGGGUGAUGGGUGGGCCACCUCCUCGAUCAAAGUCCGCUUUGGCGUUUUAUGUUGAAGGUAGACGACUUUAAAGUGGCUGACACCAUUUCUCCCCCCCCCUUCCUUCUCUAGUCCCAAGUAAGAAUGUGAAUAAAUGGAUGAAAAAAAUACCGUGUUACAUUGUCUAUCUUUGCUGAUGUGUCGAUCUAAACGAAAGAUAUUACGAAACCCAUUUUGAGACUUGAUUCCCACAUAAAGCAGCGAGUAUUCAAAUU